UAUGUUAAACUGGGAAAUUGAAUAUUAAACUGGAAUUUGAACAUAUAAAGUAAACCAUACUCCAGCGAGAGAAAUAAAUACAUAGUAUAACCGACAAAAUUCACAGCGCAUGUGAGAUAAUUUGAAAUGUCGUGAAUUCUCGUUUAAACCAAGCAACAAGAGCAUCAGAAGCAGAAGAAGAAGAAGAAGAAGCAGAACCUUCUGUACUUGCUUCAUACAAAAGUCUUCCAGAGCAGCCUCUUUAACAUCAUAGCUACAACACCCACUUCAAAUCUUCAAUACCCAAAUCAUUUCCUCAAUACCCACUUUCAUAACUCCAAUACCCACUUGUUCUUCUUGACCUUCUUUCUUCUCUAAUGGUGUCUUGAGCUUGUGGGAUGUGAUAUACACACACAUAUAUAUAUACACAAUCAUAUAUAUAUAUACACACAAUCCAUUCUUUGCAAUUCAGCUCUGUGGAUGGUAUUGUGUAUCCUGUCGGAAUGAAAAUAAAAGUGGGUUUCUUGUCUGUUUUCAUUUUCAUCCUGCUGGUUUUGUCAAAUAUAGGUAUGGUGGAGUCAGGGAGACUUCCCAGAAGCCACAGAGUUUCAGUAAAUUAUUUUACCAAGUAUAGCAGCCAUGAAUUCUAUGCUCAUAGAAGCCCCCCUCCUGUGGCUGGUGAUGAUGAUGAUGGAGAUGAGAUAGAUCCAAGGUAUGGUGUGGAGAAAAGAAUGGUUCCCACAGGCCCAAAUCCUCUGCACCAUUGAAAGGAUUGGUUGGUGAAAAAAUGUUCCCCAAUAUGAGGCUGCACAGAAUUGGGAUCACAUGUACAUUAUGAAUUCUUCUCACAAGAUCUGGCUGUUCAAGAGCCCAAUACAGAAGGAUUGACUUAAUUAUAAUAGUACAGGGAAUUAAUCAAUAUACUGCCCUUGUUUAUUGCAGGAAGAAUUAUUCAUAAGGCCUGAUUAGUGCUAAGUUUCAAUAUCAUCAGAAUGGCUGAUAGCAGUUAGGUUAGGCCCUUUGCUUGGCCUAACUUGUCUUCUGCUUCUUAAGUGUUUUUUGGCCUGAGUCCUGAUGAUGGUUCUAUGAGGUAUCAGGCCUGGUAGUCUUGAUUUGCAUUGCUUCAGAGGAAGGGAACAAAAACAGCAAAGGAUUAGAUUAGCCUGUAGUCAGAGAAAAAUGGGCUUUUAGAUUUUUAUUAUACAAGUAUGCCAAUAUAUUGGAUCAUAAGUUAAGUUUCAGGUUUUAUUUAUUCUUUGUAACCAAGGAGAGUGUCCCAUAUUUCAGUCUGAGGCAAGAAAAAGACCAUGUUCUUGUAGUAUUUUAGCUUUGUCAAUUAAUUGUAUUCUUUCUGCAUAGACAGGAUCAUAGUAAUAAGCUUUGUGUAACCAUGUAAAUAAUCUCUUAAGAGGGUUAUCUUAUAUGAAAGAAUAUUAUAGGAUUCAGACUCGAAUGCUUGAUUUUA